rnacentral:rRNA from 1 species
AGCGAACGCUGGCGGCAGGCUUAACACAUGCAAGUCGAGCGGGCAUAGCAGUAUGUCAGCGGCAGACGGGUGAGUAACGCGUGGGAACGUACCUUUUGGUUCGGAACAACACAGGGAAACUUGUGCUAAUACCGGAUAAGCCCUUACGGGGAAAGAUUUAUCGCCGAAAGAUCGGCCCGCGUCUGAUUAGCUAGUUGGUGAGGUAAUGGCUCACCAAGGCGACGAUCAGUAGCUGGUCUGAGAGGAUGAUCAGCCACAUUGGGACUGAGACACGGCCCAAACUCCUACGGGAGGCAGCAGUGGGGAAUAUUGGACAAUGGGCGCAAGCCUGAUCCAGCCAUGCCGCGUGAGUGAUGAAGGCCCUAGGGUUGUAAAGCUCUUUUGUGCGGGAAGAUAAUGACGGUACCGCAAGAAUAAGCCCCGGCUAACUUCGUGCCAGCAGCCGCGGUAAUACGAAGGGGGCUAGCGUUGCUCGGAAUCACUGGGCGUAAAGGGUGCGUAGGCGGGUCUUUAAGUCAGGGGUGAAAUCCUGGAGCUCAACUCCAGAACUGCCUUUGAUACUGAAGAUCUUGAGUUCGGGAGAGGUGAGUGGAACUGCGAGUGUAGAGGUGAAAUUCGUAGAUAUUCGCAAGAACACCAGUGGCGAAGGCGGCUCACUGGCCCGAUACUGACGCUGAGGCACGAAAGCGUGGGGAGCAAACAGG